rnacentral:tRNA from 1 species
GCCUGAGGUAGCUCUGCUGGUAGAGCAUGAGACUCUUAAUCUCAAGGUCAUGGGUUCGAGCCCCACAUUGGGCA